rnacentral:rRNA from 1 species
AUGGCCCGCUUAGUUAGGGAUGGUGGCCGUGGACGUGGAGCGGCGGCGGUGGAGGAGACGGCGCCUCUGCCCCUGCCUCCGCCGCCCCGCCUCGCGUCGGCGGCGUUGUCUUCCUCGUCGCCGGCGUCCAUCCGUGCGCUGCUAUCGAGGACCGGUGGCGGGACGGACUGCCAGCAGUCGCCGCGGUCGCUGCUGUCGCGCAUCCUGCUGCGCGGCGGCGAUCAUAACGGCGGGAACGGAGGUGGGUCGUUCGGGUGCCGGGUCAGGCUGCCCCGGCGGUAUGGUAGCAGCAGCUCGUCCGUCGGCGAAAGUAUCAGGGAGGAGAGAAAGGACGAUGGUGCUGCCUCCGAGCAGUCGGCGGACGACUUCGGCUCCGCCAGGGUGAAGGUCGUGCAGCGCGCGCCGGAGCUGCCCAUGGACACGCCCCGGAGCUCUCUAGGGAGGAAGAAGCCGGAGGAGGAGGUCAUGUCGAUGAACCUUGGCCUGGGCGCGAGCCUGGUGCUGCUGCUCUCCAAGAGCGCGGUGGAGCUGAACAAGAUGGUGGAGCUCCGCGCGCAGAUGGAAGCGCUCGUCUCGGAAAUCAGGCACGAGACCGUCGGCAAGGAGAAGCAAGGCGGCUCUGCUCCUGCUUAUGCUCCGGCCGCGUCGUCCUCCUCCUCCCAGGAAUCCACCGUGAUCAAGGACCCCAUCGCCCGCGCCGAGGACGCGCUGUCCGACAACUGCUCCGGCGCCCGGACCGCAGAUCGCCGCCAGCUUUCCGCCGCCGUCGUCGCGAUGGACCAUAACAAGAUGGAGGCCGAGCUCCAGAUCGAGCUGAGCCGCAUGCAGACGCAGCAACGCGCCAUGCACGCGCCCAUGCGAGGGCUAGAGCUACCGCCGCUGCAGGUGAAGACGACGAGGGGCGCGCACGUGUCCGUCGACACGACGUCGAGGAGCUGCGUCGUCGACCACGCGGCGCAAGCGAACGCCGAGGAGGAUAGCGAGGAGGAAGAGGAUCAGCACGAGGAGGACUACGAAGAGGACGAGGAGGAGGAGGAGGACGACGACGGUGGCGAGGUGGUGGACCGCGACAGGAGCCCGCCGCACGGCGGCGUGUCGGCGCGCGCGCUGGAGCGGCGGCUGCACGAGCUGCUGCAGCGGCGGCAGCAGGACCGCAUCGUGGAGCUGGAGGCGGCGCUGGACGGCGCGCAGCGGCGGCUCCAGGAGCGGGAGCGCGAGGUGGUGUGGUGGCGCGACGCCGCCAAGCUCGUCUCCCACCGCCGCGACGAGUCCCGCCGCCUCCGGUGCACCGCCUCCGAGCCGGUCCGAUAA